rnacentral:rRNA from 1 species
AGAGUUUGAUCCUGGCUCAGGAUGAACGCUAGCGGGAGGCUUAACACAUGCAAGUCGAGGGGCAGCACGAGGUAGCAAUACUUUGGUGGCGACCGGCGCACGGGUGAGUAACAGGUAUGCAACUUACCCUGUACCGGGGGAUAACCCGGAGAAAUUCGGACUAAUACCCCAUAAUAUUAUUGGGAGGCAUCUUUUAAUAAUUAAAAUUCAGAUGGUACAGGAUGGGCAUGCUCAACAUUAGCUAGUUGGUAGGGUAACGGCCUACCAAGGCUACGAUGUUUAGGGGGCCUGAGAGGGUGAUCCCCCACACUGGUACUGAGACACGGACCAGACUCCUACGGGAGGCAGCAGUGAGGAAUAUUGGUCAAUGGGCGCAAGCCUGAACCAGCCAUCCCGCGUGCAGGAAGACGGCGCUAUGCGUUGUAAACUGCCUUUCUGGAGGAAGAAACGCUUCGACGUGUCGGGGUUUGACAGUACUUCAGGAAUAAGCAUCGGCUAACUCCGUGCCAGCAGCCGCGGUAAUACGGAGGAUGCGAGCGUUAUCCGGAUUCAUUGGGUUUAAAGGGUGCGUAGGCGGACUUAUAAGUCAGUGGUGAAAUCCUGCAGCUUAACUGUAGCACUGCCAUUGAUACUGUUAGUCUUGAGUUUGGUUAAGGUAGGCGGAAUGUGUAAUGUAGCGGUGAAAUGCUUAGAUAUUACCCAGAACACCAAUUGCGAAAGGCAGCUUACUGGACCGAUACUGACGCUGAUGCACGAAAGCGUGGGGAGCGAACAGGAUUAGAUACCCUGGUAG